AAUCACUUGUCUUUUAAAUGAAGACCCGUAUGAAUGGCAUAACGAGGGCUUAGCUGUCUCCUUCCCCCAGUCAAUGAAAUUGAUCUCCCCGUGCAGAAGCGGGGAUAACCUCAUAAGACGAGAAGACCCUAUGGAGCUUUAGACGCAAGGGCAGAUCAUGUCAAAUACACCCAGCUAAGGGCCCUGAACUAAAUGAAACCAGCCCUGAUGUCUUCGGUUGGGGCGACCAUGGGGAACACAAAACCCCCACGUGGAAAAGGAGUACACCCCUACAUUCCUCUCCUCCUACAAGCUAGAGCGACAGCUCUAAUCAGCAGAAAUUCUGACCAAACUGAUCCGGCAACGCCGAUCAACGAACCAAGUUACCCUAGGGAUAACAGCGCAAUCCCCUUUUAGAGCCCA
rnacentral:rRNA from 1 species